rnacentral:rRNA from 1 species
AGUGAACGCUGGCGGUAGGCCUAACACAUGCAAGUCGAACGGCAGCACAGGAGAGCUUGCUCUCUGGGUGGCGAGUGGCGGACGGGUGAGGAAUACAUCGGAAUCUACUUUUUCGUGGGGGAUAACGUAGGGAAACUUACGCUAAUACCGCAUACGACCUACGGGUGAAAGCAGGGGACCUUCGGGCCUUGCGCGAUGGAAUGAGCCGAUGCCGGAUUAGCUAGUUGGCGGGGUAAAGGCCCACCAAGGCGACGAUCCGUAGCUGGUCUGAGAGGAUGAUCAGCCACACUGGAACUGAGACACGGUCCAGACUCCUACGGGAGGCAGCAGUGGGGAAUAUUGGACAAUGGGCGCAAGCCUGAUCCAGCCAUACCGCGUGGGUGAAGAAGGCCUUCGGGUUGUAAAGCCCUUUUGUUGGGAAAGAAAUCCAGCUGGCUAAUACCCGGUUGGGAUGACGGUACCCAAAGAAUAAGCACCGGCUAACUUCGUGCCAGCCGCCGCGGUAA